AAAAAAAAACAAAAAAACCCGAAUUUUUGGGGAAUUCGAUGGGCUCAAAGAACAUCCAAUGGUAAGUCUAUUCAGCCUGCAGAGCAGACAAUCAUUUGUGACAAAAGUCUGUCCAGAUUCGUUGACCGACUUUGUCUUCCUUCCUGUGAUAUGGGUUUAGUUACUGAAAACUCAGAGAAGGGCCCAGAGGUCUUUGUCUUCUUCUUUGGUAGGUCCGGACUCUAGGCAGAUAAGGGAACCUCAGCCUGUGCUUUGGAAGAGGUGGAAGAUUGAGAGACAGGAGCUGGGUGGGCGGGGGGACAAUUGUUCUCCUCAGUGGAUCUGUCUGGUCCUUAAGCAGGGAGGGGAAAAGUCUCUUCUAGCAUCUAUUGAUCUCUAAGGGUCUUUAAUUCUAAACACUCAUGAUACCAGGGAGCCGUAUUGGGGGAUAAAGUUCCCUGCAUUCCUUCGCUGUGUCUGUGUAAUGCUGACUGCAUGGACAGAUGUAGAAACACGAAUAGCUCCAUGCAUGCACAAUCAUGAAUAUGUUCGCGUGCAUGUGAGCAUUUACGUAUAUGUGCAUCUUUGUGGACAUUUGUAUGUGCAUCUUACAUGUGCCCAUGUCUAUCCAUUUGUACUUGGUUUUCAGUGCACAUUUGCGAGCGGGUGAAAAUUUCUGUGAAUGUUUAUAAGCACAUGGAACGGGCAUCUUUGUGGCUGCGGGAGUUGCACGGGUCACUCAUGAGGCCGCCCACGUGGCGCUUGUUGCUUCACCUCUCGAGUAACUGACGGUAUGUUCUGGCCCUCAGCUCUCCCGGGCAGUGUCCAUCACACUCAUGGCUUCCUAGACUUCCAUCUCCGGUCUAAUCACCUUCCGAACGCCAGAACCAUCACGUCUGCUGCCCUUGAACACCUCCCCUAGGUGUCCCUGUGGGCCACCCAGGUUCCCUCCACCCCAGUCUUCCCCACCUGCUUCUCCUUCAUGCUUCCCUCUCAGGGAGUUUGAGACCAGGCUGACCAACAUGGAGAAACCCCGACUCUACUAGAAAUACAAAAUCAGCUGGGUGUGGUGGCGCAUGCCUGUAAUCCCAGCUACUCGGGAGGCUGAGGCAGAAUUGCUUGAGCCUGGGAGGCGGAGGUUGCAGUGAGCCGAGAUUGCACCAUUGCACUCCAGCCUGGGCAACAAGAGCAAAACUCCGUCUCAAAAAAAAAAAAAAAAAAAAAGUAAAAGUAAAAGAAAGUCAAUCACCAAUAAUGCUGGAAUAUGUCAACUUUUCUCCCACCUCUUGCCACUGAUCCAGACCCCAUUCCCUCUGCCCGGGUGAUCCCUUAUAGCUACCCAGGGCUGCGGCUUUGCUCCAUUCAAGCCAUUUUCCACGCAGCAGCAGCCAGGGCCGUCUUUCCAGAGUGUAUUAGGUUGGUGCAAAAGUAACUGUGGUUUUUGCAAUUAAAAGUAAUUGUAGGCCAGGCACAGCGGCUCAUGCCUGUAAUCGCAGCACUUUGGGAGGCUAAGACAGUUGGAUCACUUGAGGUCAGGAGUUCGAGACCCACCUGGCCAACAUAGUGAAACCUGGUCUCCACUAAAAAUACAAAAAUUAGCUGGGCAUGGUGGCACACGCCUGUAAUCCCAGCUCCUGGGGGGGUGGGGGGGCAGGGCUGAGGCAGGAGAGUCGCUUGAACCCAGGAGACGACAGCUGCAGUGAGCUGAGAUCACGCCACUGCACUCCAGCCUAGGCGACAGAGUGACUCUGUCUCAAAAAAAAAAAAAAAAAAGGAAUUGCAAAAACCGCAAUUACUUAAUAGAUCUGACCAAGACUCUCCCCAGGUUCAAACCCCGGCUUCAAACCUUUUGCUCCUUAUAGUCUUUUUUUAAAACUCUUAUCUGUGGCUCAUUGUGUCUCAAGACAGCCAAGCAAACCGAACUGCUAGGAAUUUUCCCAAUGGAACAUUCUCUCUGCAAGUCCUUUGCUCUUGCGGUUGCUCCUCCAGGAGCUCCUGCCUCCCUCUUCUCUUCCCUUCCUUGAGGCUCAGCAUGGGAGAGGCCCUGCUGCAGGUGCCCUCUGACCUCUCAGGUAGGGGAGGGGGCCUCUGUCCUCUGCAAACCUGCGCUGAGUGCUCUGGAUGGUUCCGUCCCUUGGAUUGGGCCUCCCCAAGGGCAAGACCCUGCCUGGUUCACCCUGGCCGCUCAUGCAGAGGCCUGCCUAACAUAGCUGCUGAAUGAAUGAAUGAAUGAAUUGAAUUGAAUAAUGGACAAAGCCCAACAGGGAGGGUUAGCAUAAAGGGGAGACAGG
rnacentral:lncRNA from 1 species